GAGGGUAUAGCUCAGCAGUAGGGUGCAUGCUUAGCAUGCACGAGGUCCUGGGUUCAAUCCCCAGUAUCCUCC
rnacentral:tRNA from 1 species